rnacentral:lncRNA from 1 species
UGUGGAGAUCGAUAAGAGGAGGGCACAGGACAUUGCCAGCUGUGAGCAGGUUGCUCUCACAGAGCCGUUCAGUGACUGCCCCUCUGGGCACUGGAAGGUGCAGGUUGAUCCAUAGCUAAAGUUUCCCCAGGGAUUGGAACAGUUCAUUGCUACUGCUGUGUCCAUGUGCAAUUCGGAGCAUUUGACCGCUGUGAGGGAGAAUGAAGAAUGUGUGAGAAGCAGGUGUGCUGAAGGGAGCAUUGUGGUUUGCUUUGAACCCGACUGGAAUUGUCAAUCGAUGGACUGGAUGCAAAAUGUCACGAUGGAGGUCAGUCAUACCCAAGAGUCACACACAGCAGCUCCUAAAAUAACACCUUGCUGAAGCCUCCACUGGAAUAAUACUAGCCUGAGAACAAGGAUGGCCCAUGGAAUCACAUAACAAUGCACUCGUCUUGUUUCCAAAAAGUCUCCUUACAAAAUUUGCCCUUCGCAAACACUAUCGAAUCUGUAUGUAUC